rnacentral:rRNA from 1 species
AGCCGGCGACCGGCGCACGGGUGAGUAACGCGUAUGCAACCUACCUCUAACAGGGGGAUAGCUCUGAGAAAUCGGAAUUAAUACCCCAUAAUAUUCUAUCGGGGCAUCCUGAUAGAAUUAAAGCUCCGGCGGUUAGAGAUGGGCAUGCGUGCUAUUAGCUAGUUGGUGAGGUAACGGCUCACCAAGGCUGUGAUGGCUAGGGGGUCUGAAAGGAUGAUCCCCCACAUUGGUACUGAGACACGGACCAGAAUUCUACGGGAGGCAGCAGUGAGGAAUAUUGGUCAAUGGGCGAAAGCCUGAACCAGCCAUGCCGCGUGAGGGAUGAAGGUGCUAUGCAUUGUAAACCUCUUUUGUACGGGACGAAACCCCCGGUCGUGAUCGGGGCUGACGGUACCGUACGAAUAAGCAUCGGCUAACUCCGUGCCAGCAGCCGCGGUAAUACGGAGGAUGCAAGCGUUAUCCGGAUUCAUUGGGUUUAAAGGGUGCGUAGGCGGAAUAGUAAGUCAGUGGUGAAAUCCUACAGCUUAACUGUAGAACUGCCAUUGAUACUGCUAUUCUUGAGUGCAGUUGAGGUAGCUGGAAUGUGUGGUGUAGCGGUGAAAUGCUUAGAUAUCACACAGAACACCGAUUGCGAAGGCAGGUUACUAAACUGUAACUGACGCUGAGCACGAAAGCGUGGGGAGCAAACAGGAUUAGAUACCCUGGUAGUCCACGCCCUAAACGUUGAUAACUCGCUGUUGGUACUUUAUGUAUCAGUGGCUAAGC